rnacentral:rRNA from 1 species
CCUACGGGCGGCUGCAGUGGGGAAUAUUGGACAAUGGGCGAAAGCCUGAUCCAGCCAUGCCGCGUGUGUGAAGAAGGCCUUCGGGUUGUAAAGCACUUUCAGUGGGGAAGAAAGCCUUGGGGCUAAUACCCUCGAGGAAGGACAUCACCCACAGAAGAAGCACCGGCUAACUCCGUGCCAGCAGCCGCGGUAAUACGGAGGGUGCGAGCGUUAAUCGGAAUUACUGGGCGUAAAGCGCGCGUAGGCGGUCUGAUAAGCCGGUUGUGAAAGCCCCGGGCUCAACCUGGGAACGGCAUCCGGAACUGUCAGGCUAGAGUGCAGGAGAGGAAGGUAGAAUUCCCGGUGUAGCGGUGAAAUGCGUAGAGAUCGGGAGGAAUACCAGUGGCGAAGGCGGCCUUCUGGACUGACACUGACGCUGAGGUGCGAAAGCGUGGGUAGCAAACAGGAUUAGAUCCCUGGUAGUC